rnacentral:rRNA from 1 species
AGUCGAACGAGAUCUUCGGAUCUAGUGGCGCACGGGUGAGUAACGCGUGGGAACCUACCUUUUAGUACGGGACAACGUUUGGAAACGAACGCUAAUACCGCAUACGCCCUCCGGGGGAAAGGUCAGCCGCUAAAAGAGGGGCCCGCGUCUGAUUAGCUUGUUGGUAAGGUAAUGGCUCACCAAGGCUACGAUCAGUAGCUGGUCUGAGAGGAUGAUCAGCCACACUGGGACUGAGACACGGCCCAGUCUCCUACGGGAGGCAGCAGUGGGGAAUAUUGGACAAUGGAGGCAACUCUGAUCCAGCAAUGCCGCGUGUGUGAUGAAGGCCCUAGGGUUGUAAAGCACUUUCAACGGUGAAGAUGAUGACGGUAGCCGUAGAAGAAGCCCCGGCUAACUUCGUGCCAGCAGCCGCGGUAAUACGAAGGGGGCGAGCGUUAUUCGGAAUUAUUGGGCGUAAAGGGCUCGCAGGCUGCUUGAACAGUUAGACGUGAAAUCCCCGGGCUCAACCUGGGAACUGCGUUUAAUACUAGCAAGCUAGAGAAAUAGAGAGGAAAGUGGAACUCCCAGUGUAGAGGUGAAAUUCGUAGAUAUUGGGAAGAACACCAGUGGCGAAAGCGACUUUCUGGCUAUUUUCUGACGCUGAGGAGCGAAAGCGUGGGGAGCAAACAGGAUUAGAUACCCUGGUAGUCCACGCCGUAAACGAUGUGUGCUAGAUGUUGGAGGGAUACCUUUCAGUGUCGCAGCUAACGCACUAAGCACACCGCCUGGGAAGUACGGUCGCAAGAUUAAAACUCAAAGGAAUUGA